rnacentral:lncRNA from 1 species
ACUAUGAGUCAGAAAUCCUCAAGUUAAAUCUGCCAGAGUUCUUUGGUUAUUAAAUUUCAUGUUUUGGAGAAUAAGAUAUGUGUCACCUAUUCAUGGUAAUGAGGAGAGAAGAAGAAGGAAUUUCCACAGAGACUUCAUGUGUGCUCAAACAGCAGACUCUAUCUUGGUGCCAGGUCCUGGCAGCAGAAUGCUUUAUAGAAGAGAAGAACAGCUGCAACUGGCCCAUCUCAGGAUUAAAAAAAAAAAAACAGCAAAUGUGAAAAGACACAGCUUUAGCAUAAAACUAUUGACCUUGGAAAGCUAA